UGUUACUCACUGCGAGAGGUCAUUGUCGUACCCUGGCCACAGAACGACCUGAGAACGUUGAAACAUCACUCUCGGUAGGCCGGUUUCUUACUGUGCCUGCUGAUUCCGUGGUUAUGCGUUCAUCCUUGGCCAACACUUCAGUUUAGGUUGGAUCGUACGCAUAGCUUCCGGAUAUCACCAAACCCCGGCACGAAAAGUGUCAAGGAAAAUGCAACUAAACAGCCUGCUUUCGCCAACCCGGAGACGGUGUUUGUUCGGAAGCAGUGCUGCAAUGUAAAGUCUAAAACGACUCUCGGCAACGGAUAUCUCGGCUCUCGCAUCGAUGAAGAACGUAGCGAAAUGCGAUACUUGGUGUGAAUUGCAGAAUCCCGUGAACCAUCGAGUCUUUGAACGCAAGUUGCGCCCCAAGCCUUCUGGCCGAGGGCACGUCUGCCUGGGUGUCACAAAUCGUCGUCCCCCCAUCCUCUCGAGGAUAUGGGACGGAAGCUGAUCUCCCGUGUGUUACCGCACGCGGUUGGCCAAAAUCCGAGCUAAGGACGUCAGGAGCGUCUUGACAUGCGGUGGUGAAUUUAAUUCUCGUCAUAUAGUCAGACGUUCCGGUCCAAAAGCUCUUGAUGACCCAAAGUCCUCAACGCGACCCCAGGUCAGGCGGGAUCACCCGCUGAGUUUAAGCAUAUCAAGA
rnacentral:rRNA from 1 species